UCGCUAAGGCUGUACGGCUCCUCCUGUAGCAGAUUUGGUUUCAAAACUUCUGAUGUAAACAUUGAUGUCCAGUUUCCAGCCAAUAUGGCUCAACCAGAUGUUCUCUUACUUGUACAAGAAAGUCUGAAGAAUAGUGGUGUAUAGAUGCCCAGGGAUUUUAAUGUUGCCCUAGAGUCCUUCAGAGAAUGAAGGGACUUGUCAGUUUUGGCCGCAAAUAGUUUUGGGCCUUCAAAGGGCAGGUCCUCGACUGUUGACUGCACCUCUCUCGGGAACCCCAAGAGAUGGAGCCUUGAUGCACGUUGCACGAUGGCUGAUGUUGCAAUGGAGCAUGCUGCUGUUUCCGCAGAGUCAAGUGAGCCCUGCAAUGCUGUCCUAGCAAUGAGAUGGCCUUCGGCA